UGCGAGACCUGAAUGAGGCUGGUGUUUCUGAACGGGAGGUUUCGUGCAAGGAAGGGAAGGGCUCUCUUUGUUGUCAGGCUCCUCCGCUCUUCGACGCCGUUCUCCUCCUCCACGCUCGUCCUCGGAGCCCAACUCCAUCGCUGCUGCUUCCUGCCUCUACAGCCCCGCCCCUGCUGCUGCUGUCUUCGAGAAUACCAAGUUGCAGACCCUGCCUGCUUAUACAACUCCGCAAUCAUGAGUGCAAGGCCGAUGGAGGAGGACACUGAAAAGACGGAGGAGGAGGAGUUCUCCACUGGUCCGCUGUCCGUCCUUACGAUGUCUGUGAAAAACAACACUCAGGUCCUUAUUAAUUGCCGAAAUAACAAGAAGUUACUAGGGCGAGUGAAAGCGUUUGACCGUCACUGCAAUAUGGUUCUGGAAAACGUGAAGGAGAUGUGGACAGAGGUACCCAAGGCUGGUAAAGGCAAGAAAAAAGCUAAGCCUGUGAACAAAGAUCGUUUCAUCAGUAAGAUGUUUCUGCGAGGGGAUUCCGUUAUCAUUGUCUUGAGAAACCCCAAAUGAUCUAUUCAAGCCUGAACCAAAUGGGAGGAUGUGUAGUGUCAUGUAUAGUCGAAGAGAGCUGUGACCUACUGAACAAAUGGGCUUCUAUUUUGAAACUGAAUUACUUUCCAGAGUUCGGGUGAUCUGAUUUGGGUGUAGCCUGUUGGGAUACGGAGGCGUACUAUCAGGCUCGCUAGCAUGUGUUCACGGUGAUACAUCUUUUAUCCUUGUUGGUUAUGACAUGUUUGCUGGCAUAGCCAUCGAAGUAGUAAGAACACAUUGCUUGGUGAGUUAAGUUUCAAUGCGUCUACAGUGUUGGAUGUUUUGUAUUGCAUUCUUGCUUCGAAACUGCCGGUGGAAGGCCAGCAGUGGCCUACAUCAAGUGCAAGAAAGAGUAGAGAUAACUUGUUCGGCAGUUUAUUAACUUGAAACUUAGGAUCACAUUCUUGUUCUGUUUUCGCAAGUUUGACAAAGAAUCAUUGGUUUUCACAA